rnacentral:rRNA from 1 species
GACGAACGCUGGCGGCGUGCCUAAUACAUGCAAGUCGAACGCAUUUUCUUUCACCGUAGCUUGCUACACCGAAAGAAAAUGAGUGGCGAACGGGUGAGUAACACGUGGGUAACCUGCCCAUCAGCGGGGGAUAACACUUGGAAACAGGUGCUAAUACCGCAUAAUUCCAUUUCCCGCAUGGUAAAUGGAUGAAAGGCGCUUUUGCGUCACUGAUGGAUGGACCCGCGGUGCAUUAGCUAGUUGGUGGGGUAACGGCCUACCAAGGCUGCGAUGCAUAGCCGACCUGAGAGGGGGAUAGGCCACACUGGGACUGAGACACGGCCCAGACUCCUACGGGAGGCAGCAGUAGGGAAUCUUCGGCAAUGGACGCAAGUCUGACCGAGCAACGCCGCGUGAGUGAAGAAGGUGUUCGGAUCGUAAAACUCUGUUGUUAGAGAAGAACAAGGAUGAGAGUGGAAAGUUCAUCCCUUGACGGUAUCUAACCAGAAAGCCACGGCUAACUACGU